GAAAGGCGGCCGUAAGGCAGCUGGGUGUCUAUGCACACCCCAAUUAGA
rnacentral:ncRNA from 1 species